AACAAGGUUUCCGUAGGUGAACCUGCGGAAGGAUCAUUAAUGAAAUGAAUGUCGAGAAGGGUUGUAGCUGGCCCUCCGGGGCAUGUGCACACCUUGAUCGCACAUCACACCUCUCUCACACACCUGUGCACUAUGUGUAGCUUAGGGAUGAUUACAAUGUUGGAAACAAUAUUGAAAGCUCUAGCUAUGAUUUUUUAUACACUCAUAUACAAAAGUUAAAGAAUGGAUAAUGUUAUAGCGUGUAAUAGCGCAAAUAUAUAUACAACUUUCAGCAACGGAUCUCUUGGCUCUCGCAUCGAUGAAGAACGCAGCGAAAUGCGAUAAGUAAUGUGAAUUGCAGAAUUCAGUGAAUCAUCGAAUCUUUGAACGCACCUUGCGCUCCUUGGUAUUCCGAGGAGCAUGCCUGUUUGAGUGUCAUGAAAUUCUCAACUACCUUUUUAACAUUUUAUGUGUUAAGGGUGAAGUUGGAGUUGGAGGAUAAUUGCUGGCGCAACUCUCUCUAAGGUUGCUUGUUGGCUCCUCUUGAAUGGAUGAGCUUUUCUAAUGGAUCAUAGCUCAGUAACACUAAUGUGAUAAUUAUCUACGUUAGAUGUGAAAGCUAUGAGUAGAGCGGACUUUGGAAGCUCCUAUAGAAAAGAAUAUUAAUAUGUCUUGGGAGAUAACAAACUCCUUGACCUUGACAAAUCUGACCUCAAAUCAGGUAGGACUACCCGCUGAACUUAAGCAUAUC
rnacentral:rRNA from 1 species